CAUUUCUUCUGCUGAAACUCUCUUCAUGUGUUUCGUUUUCAAAGAGCCGAUGUUUCAGAUCCACGACCAGAGACAAAUGAGGCUCAGAGGUGUUUGUGAGUAAAACUUACAACUGUAAUGAAAUAAACGCUACAGGUUUGAAUCUAAUCCAGGCGCCGCCCAGAGGUUUGGUGUAGUUUUGACGGCGCUCGACGGAGGAUUUAUGCAGGUCGAUGAAAACGAAAACGAUGCUGUGUGCACGAUGUUAUUUUGGAAAACGGAGGGAGGGAAAUAUUCGUUUCUCAACAUGCCUGGAUAUGUGUGAACGUCGUCUAAAUCAUCACAGCAACAUCACGUGACUCUGAGGAAAACCACAGGAAGGAGUCCAAACUGUCGGCUAUGAAAACAAACUCAAAAAAGAACCUAAUAACAUUUACAUUUUCAACUUUUAACUUUUAAAUAUUCAGCACAGACCUGGGCUUUGUGCAGCUCCGGGGCCACAUACGGCUCUUUAUUUGACUCUGAUCGUCCCGUUUAAGAUCAUUUGGAAUUACAAAAUAAAUAAAUAAACUAAAUAAAGGUGUCA